rnacentral:rRNA from 1 species
AGCGAACGCUGGCGGCAGGCCUAACACAUGCAAGUCGAACGGACCCUUCGGGGUUAGUGGCGGACGGGUGAGUAACACGUGGGAACGUGCCUUUAGGUUCGGAAUAGCUCCUGGAAACGGGUGGUAAUGCCGAAUGUGCCCUUCGGGGGAAAGAUUUAUCGCCUUUAGAGCGGCCCGCGUCUGAUUAGCUAGUUGGUGAGGUAAUGGCUCACCAAGGCGACGAUCAGUAGCUGGUCUGAGAGGAUGACCAGCCACACUGAGACUGAGACACGGCCCAGACUCCUACGGGAGGCAGCAGUGGGGAAUCUUGCGCAAUGGGCGAAAGCCUGACGCAGCCAUGCCGCGUGAAUGAUGAAGGUCUUAGGAUUGUAAAAUUCUUUCACCGGGGACGAUAAUGACGGUACCCGGAGAAGAAGCCCCGGCUAACUUCGUGCCAGCAGCCGCGGUAACAC